AUAGUAUGUAAUAUAUAAAACUAUACAUUUGUUUUUGAAAUAUAAUCUGGACCAACGUAAUUCAUGAAGAUCAAUAAUCUGGCCCAACGUACUCAAAGUACUAAGCCCAUCAGAAACCAAUUGGAACAUAAAAAUUAAGUUACGUUAGUAAAUAAAGUAAACUAUUCAGAAAAAUCAGGAAACGUCUUCUCGGUGUCUGUCUCUCUGAUCUGUUCAUCUUUCUCUUUUUUUUUUCAAAAGUGUUCAACUUUCUGGAUAUUCAUAAUCAUCAAAGUAAAAAAAAAACUAUACAAAUCCAGAGCAAAACACAGAUUUAUGGUGAAUUUGAUACUCGAUCUAUCGGGUACAGUUUUUUUUAAUUAACCACAAUGUCCGGCGACCGAAGUCAACCGACUAAUCUGUGCCUCCAGCGAUACCGACAUUUGUAGAUUUCCCAGUGGCCAACGGGAAUUGAACUGCAGUUUCGCUACUACAGGGAUAGAAGCCUGAAGAGUUAGUUUUUGGAUAUUAAAGAAAAUAGAACACAAUAUUGUUUUCAUUAACGGAUAGAUCACGUUCUUCUGAAUAGAAAAGGUGACUCAAAAAUAAUUGCAAAAGUUGUUGAUUUAUUCGAAUUGAGAACACCAUAA